rnacentral:rRNA from 1 species
CAGACGAGGAGCUCGCUCCUCUGACGUUAGCGGCGGACGGGUGAGUAACACGUGGAUAACCUACCUAUAAGACUGGGAUAACUUCGGGAAACCGGAGCUAAUACCGGAUAAUAUAUUGAACCGCAUGGUUCAAUAGUGAAAGACGGUUUUGCUGUCACUUAUAGAUGGAUCCGCGCCGCAUUAGCUAGUUGGUAAGGUAACGGCUUACCAAGGCAACGAUGCGUAGCCGAACUGAGAGGGUGAUCGGNCACACUGGAACUGAGACACGGUCCAGACUCCUACAGGAGGCAGCAGUAAGGAAUCUUCCGCCAUGGGCGAAAGCCCGCGCGGAGCAACGCCCGCGUGAGUGAUGAAGGUCCUUCGGAUCGUAAAACUCUGUUAUUAGGGAAGAACAAAAUGUGUAAGUAACUAUGCACGUCUUGCCGGUACCUAAUCAGAAAGCCACGGCUAACUACGUGCCAGCAGCCGCGGUAAUACGUAGGUGGCAAGCGUUAUCCGGAAUUAUUGGGCGUAAAGCGCGCGUAGGCGGUUUUUUAAGUCUGAUGUGAAAGCCCACGGCUCAACCGUGGAGGGUCAUUGGAAACGGUAAAACUUGAGUGCAGAAGAGGAAAGUGGAAUUCCAUGUGUAGCGGUGAAAUGCGCAGAGAUAUGGAGGAACACCAGUGGCGAAGGCGACUUUCUGGUCUGUAACUGACGCUGAUGUGCGAAAGCG